rnacentral:tRNA from 1 species
GAUGAUGUAGUUUAACGGUAGAGCGUGGGAAUCAUAAUCCUAAUGUUGUAGGUUCAAAUCCUACCAUCAUUA